UACGUAGGGGGCUAGCGUUGUCCGGAAUUAUUGGGCGUAAAGAGCUCGUAGGCGGUUUGUCGCGUCUGCCGUGAAAGUCCGGGGCUCAACUCCGGAUCUGCGGUGGGUACGGGCAGACUAGAGUGAUGUAGGGGAGACUGGAAUUCCUGGUGUAGCGGUGAAAUGCGCAGAUAUCAGGAGGAACACCGAUGGCGAAGGCAGGUCUCUGGGCAUUAACUGACGCUGAGGAGCGAAAGCAUGGGAGCGAACAGG
rnacentral:rRNA from 1 species